GCAGUGCCAUGGCCGCCUGCAAUAAAAGCUAACUGUUGAAGUAAAAGGCGCAGGAUUCUGCGCCUUUUUU
rfam:Shigella dysenteriae Sd197, complete genome.